CCUACGGGAGGCUGCAGUGGGGAAUAUUGGACAAUGGGCGCAAGCCUGAUCCAGCAAUGCCGCGUGGGUGAAGACGGCCUGCGGGUUGUAAAGCCCUUUGGGCGGGGAGGAACGACGGCGCGCCAACACCGUGCCGUACUGACGUUACCCGCGAAACAAGCACCGGCUAACUCCGUGCCAGCAGCCGCGGUAAUACGGAGGGUGCGAGCGUUAAUCGGAAUUACUGGGCGUAAAGCGUGCGUAGGCGGAUGGGUCAGUCAGCCGUGAAAGCCCCGGGCUCAACCUGGGAACGGCGGUUGAGACGGCCCGUCUCGAGUGGGCUAGAGGAUCGUGGAAUUCCGGGUGUAGCGGUGAAAUGCGUAGAGAUCCGGAGGAACACCGAUGGCGAAGGCAGCGGUCUGGGGCCACACUGACGCUGAGGCACGAAAGCGUGGGGAGCAAACAGGAUUAGAUACCCCUGUAGUC
rnacentral:rRNA from 1 species